rnacentral:tRNA from 1 species
UGGGGCGUAGCCAAGCGGUAAGGCACCGGGUUUUGGUCCCGAAAUUCGAAGGUUCGAAUCCUUCCGUCCCAG